rnacentral:rRNA from 1 species
GCCCAAGAGACCCUAUCCAAAGCCCUGUAUGUGACCUCGAUGUUGAAUUAAUAACGCUACAUUUAGUAAAAGAAAUGCAAGUAGGUCUGUUCGACCUUUAAUAUAUUACAUGAUUUGAGUUCAGACCGGCGCAAGCCAGGUCAGCUUAUAUCUUCUCCCUCUAAGUGCUAGUACGAAAGGACCCCACAAUUAAUUAUA